AGCAGCCGCGGUAAUUCCAGCUCCAAUAGCGUAUAUUAAAGUUGUUGCAGUUAAAAAGCUCGUAGUUGAAUUUUAGGCCUGGCCGGGCGGUCCGUCUUUGGCGAGUACUGUCUUGUUGUCGGGUCUUCCUUCUGGUGAACCAGUAUGCCCUUUAUUGGGUGUGUUGGGGAGCCAGGACCAUUACCUUGAAAAAAUUAGAGUGUUUAAAGCGGGCUAUUGCUUGAAUAGAUUAGCAUGGAAUAAUAGAAUAGGACGUUGUGGUUCUAUUUUGUUGGUUUCUAGGACCACCGUAAUGAUUAAUAGGGAUAGUUGGGGGCAUUAGUAUUCAAUUGUCAGAGGUGAAAUUCUUGGAUUUAUUGAAGACUAACUAUUGCGAAAGCAUUUGCCAAGGAUGUUUUCAUUAAUCAAGAACGAAAGUUAGGGGAUCGAAGACGAUCAGAUACCGUCGUAGUCUUAACCAUAAACUAUGCCGACUAGGAAUC
rnacentral:rRNA from 1 species